rnacentral:lncRNA from 1 species
AGUGUAUGUAGGUGUUGAAGGUUACAGGGAAUAAAGCACAACUGAAUGACAAUUGGAUUUAUUUGUGUUCCAUGUGUCUCUCUCUGUGGCAGUGUGACAGCUGGAUCUUUGUGAAGGACUUUGGUUUCUGGAUCUUAAUCAUUCAAGCCAUAAAAAUUAAGAAAAUGCAAGUCACCAGAGUCCCCUGGGAAACGUCCAGCUGUCCUGGGAGGGGAGCUCAUCUGUCCUGGAGGACCAUGACACUGCACUUCUUGAGGAACGGGAAAGAAAGGACUCUGGAUCACGAUGUUCCCAAGGGAGCAUGGACAACGUUCACAGAAUGUGAAUGAUGCUCAGCCAAGACCACUUGGACCAUGUUUGGGACAAGAUAAAGCCACUCUACAACCACACAAAUGAAAAAUAUCUUCUAACACAAGUGAC